UGUUUUUCCCAAUAUUUCAUAAAGUUAGUUAGUGACGUUUAAAGUCACAUGUGGUGUAUAAACUAUAAGUUGUGCUUGUUCUUUUCAGGAAAGAUAAAAAACUAAAGUCAUUAGCUAAAAGGCUUAGUUAAUAGUAGUAGCAAAUAGUGGUGGCACGAAAUUAGUACGGAAUAGAUUAGAUAGGAGUGUUUAAGCAGAACAAAAACCCAGUGUAUUUGAAUUAUAUACACUCAACAAAAAGGUCCUAGUGGGCCUUUUUCUGCUCUUCUAUUCCUUGGCGUAUACAGGUGGUGAUUUGGCAUUCCCCAGGGCGAAAGUUGGACCGAUUCCCUAACCAGCGCACGCAAAUUCCCGCCGCAUACGAUAGUUCCGGACCGAAUUGGGGUCAUUCCAACAUCGCCGGCGUUCCGAUCGAGCCACGUGGAUAGGUUCCGCCAUUGUGAAACGGGCCGGACCGCACCUUUGUUCCAUUGCUUUCGCCAAGCGUUUACCGUCGUCGAACCCCACGCCAGCUCGCCGAAGUCAGUCCGGAAACAGUCAGCGUACACCACAAGCCAGGGUGCUUCGUCCAAGAUCAAGCCGGGGACCGUCGCCAACGCCACAAGCCAGCUCGUACCACCAGGAAGUCAAUUCGGGAAUCGUCGCCGAACACGGCCAGCCAGCUCGUUCCGUCAAAAUUCGAGCUUGCCCGCCGCCGACGAAGAAGUCCCGCUCGUACCGUCCGAAAUCGAGCCUAAACCGUCACCGAACAUCGGAAUUUCGCCCACCGUCAAGCCCUAGCGCCUCUGCCAAGCCGAAGCCUCCUCGUACCGUCCAACAUCGAGUCGAACCCGUCACCGAGCAUCGGGAUUUCGCCCACCGUCAAGCCCUAGCGCCUCUGCCAAGCCGAAGCCUCCUCGUACCGUCCAACAUCGAGUCGAACCCGUCACCGAGCAUCGGAAUUUCGCCCACCGUCAAGCCCUAGCGCCUCUGCCAAGCCGAAGCCUCCUCGUACCGUCCAACAUCGAGUCGAACCCGUCACCGAGCAUCGGAAUUUCGCCCACCGUCAAGCCCUAGCGCCUCUGCCAAGCCGAAGCCUCCUCGUACCGUCCAACAUCGAAUCGAACCCGUCGUCGAACAUCGGAAUUUCGUCCCACUUCAAGCCCGCGCGCCUCCACCAAGCUGGAAGCUUCUUGCGCCAUCCGAACCUGGGCCUGAAUAGUUGUUAUCCGGUGCACCAGAAGCCGAGAAGCGUUGCAGCCGUCAUCCCACCUGCUAGCGGCCAACCCUGUCGAUCACGGAGGGAUAAGGUGUCGGUAUCCCGUGAGUCGGUCGUUACGCUCAAAUGCCGCACAGAGAAUUGGUGCCCCUAUCGAAGACAUCGCUACUGUCAACGGAGCCCCAUCGACGAGGUCCAUCGGCCGUCGCCAGCUAGAGCCCCAAAGGCCAAACCGCAAGUACCCCAAGCAUGUUGUGACGUCACAGAAACGCCCAGGUCGGGGCAAUAAAUAGUAUGUAAAAUUAUAUACCGUUGAGUAGCGCUUUUCCUUAAGAGCAAGCAUUCCCUUGGUUAAUACACC